UCCGUAGGUGAAACUGCGGAACGAUCAUUA
rnacentral:rRNA from 1 species